AGACGUAGGGGGCGAGCGUUGUCCGGAAUUACUGGGCGUAAAGGGCGUGUAGGCGGCAAGGUAAGUUAGGUGUGAAAAUUCGGAGCUUAACUCCGGGAUAGCAUCUGAAACUGCCUAGCUUGAGUGCAUUAGAGGAGAGCGGAAUUCCUAGUGUAGCGGUGAAAUGCGUAGAUAUUAGGAAGAACACCAGUGGCGAAGGCGGCUCUCUGGGGUGCAACUGACGCUGAGGCGCGAAAGCUGGGGGAGCGAACGGGAUUAGAUACCCCGGUAGUCCCAGCCGUAAACGAUGGUCACUAGGUGUAGGAGGUAUCGACCCCUUCUGUGCCGCAGCCAACGCAAUAAGUGACCCGCCUGGGGAGUACGGCCGCAAGGUUGAA
rnacentral:rRNA from 1 species